UAAGGCUGAAAGCAAUAUCCCGAUAGGAUCCAAUGAAUGGAUUUGCCUUGUAACCAAAGAAAAUGGGGGAAAUGAAAAUG
rnacentral:sRNA from 2 species